UUUUUGCUUAUGUAAGUUCCAGGUGGAGGCUGACCAUGUAGUCAGUGUCAGAGGUUGACCAUCUCCUUGGUCCUCCUAAUGACCUGCGUGUGUCUGAUGUAUACCUCGAUCAUGGCUAACCAGCAUAUCAGUCGCCAUGACCUGUUGAAGAGGGACCUGCAAAGUGCUUCAGUAAGGUCUCCUAGCAGCCUGCAGUGUUCGCCAAAUGUGUUGGCUCAAAAAACUCCUGGCAGUGAAAUAGGACUAUAUUUUGAGGGAACUGAGCCAACUUCUUUCAGUGUUUUGGACCCAUUGAGAAGGUGUUGGCAGAUUCCACAGGCUAUUCCUAAUCAUUACUAUGUGAUGCUGUCAGGAGCCAAACAAGAUAUCACUCUCCAGCCAUCCCCCCCCAACCCCCUCGACAGGGAGUCACAACACAACGUUGAGGAACUGGAAUAAAAGAAUAAAGACAAAGGUCUGGCGAUUUUCAGCAGCACAAAAUCUACCCGCAGGAAAUAAUGUGUGGCCAUACGUGGAGACUCCCUAAUCUGUUGCAGCAGAGCUACGGUGGAGGGGGCAGCAGAGGAUAUCCUUUAUCGGACUGAUUAGAGUGGAGGAGAGGAGCGAUGGAUGGUGGUCAUUAUCCUUCAAGUUCAGGUUCUGCACCAGUGGCCUGGAAGCUUGAGCAUCCUGCACAGUAUCUUUGCCUUUCCUAGCACUGGACAGAGAUCUCAAGUGCUUUUCCUGGGAUCUGCUGGAGCCACUGCACCACCAAUUACCACUGGGACCACUGUUACCUUCACCCUCCACAUCUCAAGCUAUUCAUGUUCCUUUUUCCUGAUGUUGCUAUCAUAUCAUAUAUCAUAUUUAGCUACAUCUAUCACUACGGCCAUCUUCCUCUGCAUGUCCAUGACUACUGGCUUGUUCUCAACGACCCAUGGGGUCAUGUCCCAUAUUGACCUUGGGACUUCCAGUCUACACUAGUUACAAAUGUUCCUAUAUGUACAUACAGUAUAUAUAAAAUCAAAAAUGAAGAAACUGUCCUGGCUCUGUCCAAAGGUAGUGCACAACACUUGCAGAAAACCCACCCAAAUCACACAGAAAGGCCACAGCAGACCUUCUGCCCACUGCCAUCUUGUUGUGAGGCAGUGCUAGCCGCUGCACCAUUUUGACACCCCCAAAGAUAAUCCAAGGAUACAAUUUCCCUUUGUGCGAGUGUGUUGCGAGUGUGUAGACUUGCAGGUCUCUGUAUGAUCUGUUGCCCUCUGGGCUGUAAUUAAUUAGAGCUGCAACAUGGUCUGAUCAGGAUUCCUCUGUGAUUCACAACCUCAGCGACCUUUCCAUUCAGCCUGCAGAAGCGAUCCUGACCUGAUGCAAUUGCUUCUAUUUUAUGUAUUGAAUAUGUGUGAAACUCAAUUAGCUGCUUGUCAAACAUGCACCGUACAACCUAUGGGUAUACAGUAGGCAUGGAGACAUUACUGGGAACGCAGACUAGAUGCUAUUUAAAAGAGCACGACUUUCUAAAAAUAAGUAUAAAAGGAAAAACAUGAGCAUGACUCAUUCAGGAGUGUUGCUGUGGUUUAAUAGGUACCAGGUUUACUAAUGUGAUUUAGCAAAAAGCAGUAAAUCACAUUUUAGCGUAAAGCUGCCACUGAGAAUAUCUUGAACACCACAGCCUCUUGUCCUUGGUCACUAAGGAUUACCACUACUAGCCUCCCAUUAAAAUAGUUUCUUUUGAUGUCGCUUUUCCAAAUUAGGAUUGUAAUUCGGACGAUGAAAAAUUAAUUACUAGUUUCCAGGGUUUCAAAGAGAACUGGGCAUGACUAGAUUCACACACGAGUGGUGUUAAACACGUCAAGGCUUUCUUUUCAUUCUUGGGAAGGUUUUGUCGGUUGGUCAGGGUGCUGACUGUUGCAUUUGCAGCUACCCUGUCUGUGUAAAAGUCUAUCAAAUACCAACCCUAUGCUGUUACUGUUAGCUGUGUUUCACUCGUCCAGCUAAAUCUGAACAAUUUGCAGACUGGCCGGUCCUGCUGUUACAUUGGAGCGUGGGAUUUUUUUAUGUAUAAAAAUGCAAAGCGUGUUGUUGGCAAAGAGGGAGAACACGGUCACAGUAUCUGUCAUAAUGGUUUUUUUUCCUCCUUAGCAUUGGAAGGAUACACUCAGCAGUCCAUGUUACUCACGGAAUCUUAACAUCUUCAUAUCACCCUGCUCUGACGGGGAGGAAAGAGACACUCUUUUCAUACAGAAACAGACUCGGAUAUGGCGCGACUCCUAACAUCCGGUAAAGUGAUGAAGAAAUUAUAUGACAGGCUGAUUAGCAUUUACAACCACAUGAGCACAGUGCACCUAUCUGUGGGGCCAUGUCUUUCAGACAGCUGCACAAGAACAUAUGAAUGGGCCUAAUUGUACAAUUUUUAUCCAUUAUUGAUGGAGCUGUUAAUUUAAGUGCUCUCGUUUGAUCUGAAAGACCAAAGUUUUGCUCGGCUCAAAAGCUUUGAUCACAAGCAUAUGCCUUUACCCUUCACUGUAUCCUUCAGACAACUGCUCUUAUUGUUCUUGCUAAUUAAUGAUGUUUCAUUCAGCAUUUCAUUUAUAUGACAAAUGAAGUGUCUUUCUGUCUGGACUGAUUGCCAAGUCUUUAACUUCUUUGUCUAUUUCAAUAAGCAAUAUUUAGGUAUGUAAUUAAUUUCUUUUGCUGGAAACACAAUUGAUUCAUUAAAAAGAGAGGAUUCUCCUUAUCAUU